rnacentral:rRNA from 1 species
CAAGGAAUUUUCCGCAAUGGGCGCAAGCCUGACGGAGCAACGCCGCGUGCAGGACGACGGCCUUCGGGUUGUAAACUGCUUUUCGGCGGGACGAUGAUGACGGUACCGCCGGAAGAAGCCCCGGCUAACUCCGUGCCAGCAGCCGCGGUAAUACGGAGGGGGCAAGCGUUGUUCGGAAUUACUGGGCGUAAAGGGCGCGUAGGCGGUCUGUUGCGUCAGGUGUGAAAGCCCCGGGCUCAACCUGGGAGGUGCACUUGAUACGGGCGGACUGGAAUCCGGGAGAGGAUGGUGGAAUUCCCAGUGUAGAGGUGAAAUUCGUAGAUAUUGGGAAGAACACCGAUGGCGAAGGCAGCCAUCUGGCCCGGUAUUGACGCUGAGGCGCGAAAGCGUGGGGAGCAAACAGGAUUAGAUACCCCCGUAGUCC